CAGGUUAGCUGCCUUUUUCUGGAUGCAAGAACCCCAACUGUUGUCAUCUUGCCUGUCUUCGGGGUGCCCCUCAACAAGGCUCUCAUCUUGUUAUUCCAGUUUGUUUCUCAAGGGAAUCAUGGAGAGCAUCAGCAUUAAGUCAGGAGCCAGCAAGGCCAGCGGAGUUGUGUUGGUGUAAGUUACUCAACAGCAAAAUAAGAGCAAGAAAUGAGGCAGCAUGCUGUGGACCUUGCGUUUUCCAUCCAGGAGCUGAGGAGGUCCCAUUGAAAAGCCAUUAGAUGCUCAUUUUUCUCUGCUUUUGCUACAUCCAGAAGAGCAGCACUGCAGAUCCAGGAAAAUGUGGGUAAUCCUCGGAGAGAUUCACAUUAAAUAAAAACAGCAUGCAAGAAUGUUUUCCACAGUCCAACCCUGUGAGAUGAAAUCAGUGGCAGCAUCUAUAAACAACAACUUGAAAAUCAUCU